UACGGAGGAUCCAAGCGUUAUCCGGAUUUAUUGGGUUUAAAGGGUGCGUAGGUGGCUUAUUAAGUCAGGGGUGAAAGACGGUAGCUUAACUAUCGCAGUGCCUUUGAUACUGAUGAGCUUGAGUGAACUAGAGGUAGGCGGAAUGUGACAAGUAGCGGUGAAAUGCUUAGAUAUGACUUAGAACACCAAUUGCGAAGGCAGCUUGCUAAACAAACAUUGACGCUGAGGCACGAAAGCGUGGGGAUCAAACAGG
rnacentral:rRNA from 1 species